AUAAAAACAUUGAAAAGAAGAAGUACAGAUUGAAAGUUUUUCAGAGAAGCGACGGUUGGUGCGAGUCGUGAAAACGGAAGAUCCGGAACGUGUCUUGGAGUUGUGUUAUCGAACAAAUGGUGAGGUGACACCGUGAAUUCGCGUUAAGAAUGAGUUGUCGUCCAUAUCGGGUGGACGGAAGUAAGGUGGUACCGCGUGCUCAUAGCGUCCUUUCG
rnacentral:ncRNA from 1 species